UUAACUUUAAUAUGAUUUCUACUGCUUUAAAAAACAGCUACAAAACUGAAGUAGUCCUAUUAUUAGUUUUAUUCUGAGACCACCAAAUGAUCGGUGUAUAUUCUGAUGGUUUGUGGGAUUUUUUUUUUUUUGAAUCAUCUGAGAAUUGCAAAAUUUUAUGUUCUCACACUUAUCCAUCGCUUUAGCAACUAGAUUUAUAACAAGGUAUUUAGAACGCAAAUCCUAAUACUCAGAAACUGAAAAAUGGUAGAAUUAAGGUUCUGUUUGUUAGGUUAAUUGCGGUAUUGAUCCUCCAAGUCCCUCAAUUUGGAGUAGUAUAUAACUGAUACAAUUUCAGUUCAAUAAUUUUUGUUGGUGAAAACAUGCAUUUUACCUGUAUUCAGCUUAGUUUCUUUAUGCCUUUUUCCCUAGCCAGUUCACACACUGUCAGUUGUAGACUGGACUGCCUGUAAGUGUUGGGUGUAUGGCAGACAUCAUGGAUGAUAACCAUUGAGACACAAAUAUUUUAAUUGUUGAACAUUCAAAUUCAAAUGUUGGUCAAAAUAGUUUUGAUACCACUGGAAAAAUUGAGAGGGAAUCUGGUUCUUGAAAAUUUAAUCUUUAUGAAAACACUUAAAGAUGAGAUGUCUUUAAUUUAUGAAAACAAAUUAUAUCAAUUUGACUCUUUCAAAGUCAAAUUUAAAAUUUCCCAUCAAUAUCAACAUUCAUCUGGCAAUUUAUUAUUCUUUGCUAUCUUCGUUUUUUGUAGAAUCAUUUUAAAGUUGUGAAUAACAUGCUGUGUGCAGUGUCUGUGUGCAGUGUCUCAGUGAUAGUCCUAUUAUAUGGUGAGAUAAAAUCACAGGCCUUCCUGGUUAAUCCUGGAUAUGUUUCACUUAAAACAAACAAAAAACAAACAAACAAAAAAAAAACAAAAAAGCAAAAAAAACAACAAAAAAAACAAAAACAAAAAAAAACA